GUCACUUCUUGGCCUUUGUACUAAGAUCAAGUGUAGUAUCUGUUCUGAUCAUCUUAAUAUCUGAUACAUACUCAUUCAUGUAUACUAAAUGCAGCUUGGAGCAGGGAGAUGGAGGAUGAAACAAGAGCUAAUUCUGUCUAUUCCAUGCCUGGUAUUGCAACACUUCCAGAAAUGGUACAAAUG